AGCGAACGCUGGCGGCAGGCUUAACACAUGCAAGUCGAGCGGGCAUCCCUGUGGUGUCGGCGGCAGACGGGUGAGUAACGCGUGGGAACGUGCUCUUCGCUUCGGAAUAACUCAGGGAAACUUGAGCUAAUAUCGGAUACGUGCGAGAGCAGAAAGGUUUAACUGCAGAAGGAUCGGCCCGCGUCUGAUUAGUUAGUUGGUGAGGUGACGGCUCACCAAGGCGACGAUCAGUAGCUGGUGUGAGAGGAUGAUCAGCCACACUGGGACUGAGACACGGCCCAGACUCCUACGGGAGGCAGCAGUGGGGAAUCUUAGACAAUGGGGGCAACCCCGAUCGAGCCAUGCCGCGUGAGUGAUGAAGGCCUUAGGGUUGUAAAGCUCUUUUAUCCGGGACGAUAAUGACGGUACCGGAAGAAGAAGCCCCGGCUAACUUCGUG
rnacentral:rRNA from 1 species